rnacentral:lncRNA from 1 species
CUGGGUUAAGGCAUGGAAUGCUGCUUGAGCACUCACCCAGGGUGGGCUCUCAUCGGGAUAUGCUGAGCACUUAGUGUCACAUCAUCUUGUGGAGUCUCAAAGGAUCCUGUCACUGAUGAGGAAACUAAAGCUCAAAGAAGUGAAGAGACUUAUCCAGGGACACACAACUAGGAUGUGGCGGAGUAAGGACUUUCCUAAUUUUCCUUUUCUUGAACUACCUUUGAGUUUUUUGUGUAUUCAGAUGACCCAAGUCUUCACCAUUGCUCCAGUCAGUGAAUUGGUCAAAGAUGGGAGAAGAAUCAAUAUGUGGGUGGGGGCCUUUUGGGACAUAUGCUCCUUGCUUGUUUGGUGGACUCUUCUGGAAAGUGGUCAAGGGAAGUGUAAAAAUUUUUCCUUGUCACGGAUAGGUUCCUGUCUUCUAUUGUCUACCUAAGGUCUGUAGCCUGAAAAGAUGCAGAGAGC